GCCACUCCCCCACCAGCCUCCACCAUGCAGAACGAGGUGGGUGACAUGGUGGACCCCUACGUCCCCAGGAAGUGCUCGGCCACCAACAGGAUCAUCACGGCCAAGGACCACGCCUCUGUCCAGAUCAUCAUUGGUCACGUUGAUGAGAAUGGCCUCUAUGAUGGCCGCUUCACCACCUUUGCUCUCUCUGGGUUCAUCCGUGCUCAGGUAAUCAUCUUUCUUGUGUAUUGA
rnacentral:rRNA from 1 species